GACGAACGCUGGCGGCGUGCUUAACACAUGCAAGUCGAACGGAAAGGCCCCUUUGGGGGUACUCGAGUGGCGAACGGGUGAGUAACACGUGAGUAACCUGCCCUUGACUUCGGGAUAACUUCAGAAAACUGGGGCUAAUACCGGAUAGGAAUCCUUGCUGCAUGGUGGGGGUUGGAAAGCUUCGGCGGUUUUGGAUGGACUCGCGGCUUAUCAGCUUGUUGGUGGGGUAGUGGCUUACCAAGGCUUUGACGGGUAGCCGGCCUGAGAGGGCGACCGGCCACAUUGGGACUGAGAUACGGCCCAGACUCCUACGGGAGGCAGCAGUGGGGAAUAUUGCACAAUGGGCGGAAGCCUGAUGCAGCAACGCCGCGGGCGGGAUGACGGCCUUCGGGUUGUAAACCGCUUUCAGCAGGGGCGAAGCUUGUGGUGACGGUACCUGCAGAAGAAGCACCGGCUAACUACGUG
rnacentral:rRNA from 1 species